UAGAGUUUCGAUCCUGGCGUACAGGACGACGGACUGGCGGCGUGCUUAACACAUGCAAGUCGAACGGAAAGGCUCUUGCUUGCAAGGGGUGCUCGAGUGGCGAACGGGUGAGUAACACGUGGGUGAUCUGCCUUGUACUCUGGGAUAAGCUUGGGAAACUGGGUCUAAUACCGGAUAGGAACUGCCUUUAGUGUGGUGGUUGGAAAGUUUUUCGGUGCAAGAUGAGCUCGCGGCCUAUCAGCUUGUUGGUGGGGUAAUGGCCUACCAAGGCGUCGACGGGUAGCCGGCCUGAGAGGGUGUACGGCCACAUUGGGACUGAGAUACGGCCCAGACUCCUACGGGAGGCAGCAGUGGGGAAUAUUGCACAAUGGGCGGAAGCCUGAUGCAGCGACGCCGCGUGGGGGAUGACGGCCUUCGGGUUGUAAACUCCUUUCGACAGGGACGAAGCGCAAGUGGCGGUACCUGUAUAAGAAGCACCGGCUAACUACGUG
rnacentral:rRNA from 1 species